rnacentral:rRNA from 1 species
CAAUAGCGUAUGCUAAAGUUGUUGCAGUUAAAAGGCUCGUAGUCGAAUUUAUGAUCCUGUGAACCUGGCCCAGUCCCUAGUGGAUUGAGAGCUGGUGUGCACGGAUCAUUUUUCUGGAGAGCAUUGCUGCCCUUGAUUGGGUUGGUGAUGUAAUUCAGAUCAUUUACUGUGAGUAAAUCAGAGUGUUCAAAGCAGGCUUUAAUGCCUGAAUGGUUCAGCAUGGAAUAAUAAGAUAAGACUUGGGUUUUGUUUUGUUGACUAUGGAACCAAAGUAAUGAUUAAAAGGGAUAGUUGGGGGGUGCUAGUAUUCAGUGGUCAGCGGUGAAAUGCGAGGACCCAUUGAAGACUAACUUAUGCGAAAGCAUUCACCAAGGAUAUCUUCUUUGA